AAAAAUACUCCUUCAGUGAAAAUACACGUAAAAACGGGUCAUCACAGUGAUACUCGUUGAAACCCCACCAAAAUUUCCUUAGUAACUGGUCCAAUCUGUUGGUGAUGGACUGAGGUAGUAGAAAAAUUCCCAUGGCAUAGGUAGGAAUGGCCUGUAGGACUGACUUGAGCAAGACUUCCUUUCCAGCUGCAGAUAGACUAUUUGUCUUCCAGUUUGUGAUUCGAGACCACACUCUAUCAAUUAGACCAUGGAAUGUUGCAAUUUUGGCUCUCCCAACCAUGGCAGGGAGACCAAGGUACUUCUUAAAAGAGCCUGUUGCUGACACUCCAUCAAUAUGCAAAAUUGUCCUCUUGUUCUCUGGUGGUGUAUUCUUGCUAAAAAAUAUGGAAGACUUCUCUUUGUUUAGCACCUGGCUUGAGGCAGUCUCAUAUAAGUUUAGAACCCUCAUUAGUCUACUCCAUUCAAGAGAGUUGGAUUUACAGAAGAUCAUGCUAUUAUCAGCAAAGAAAAGGUGAUUGACUUUUAAAGGACCUCUUCCCAUCGGGACACUAGUAAGGCUGCCAUCCAUCUUAGCCUUGUUGAGAAUGCUUGUUAAAGCCUCAGCACAAAGGAUAAAGAGGUAAGGGGAUAGAGGAUCCCCUUGCCUUAAGCCUUGGGAGGCUUGAAGGGAGCUUGUGGUUCACCAUUGAGGGGAAUUGAGUAUGAAACUGAGGAUAUGCAGCUCAUCACUAUAGAAAUCCAUCUCCUAUCAAAUCUCAUUUUGUCCAUCACUGAGGAAAGAAAGGGCCACUCUAACCGAUCGUAUGCCUUGCUCAUAUCAAGCUUGAAGGCCAUGAAGCCAGCUUUUCCUGUCAUUCUAGUUGUCAUCAUGUGAAGGGUCUCAUAAGCUACCAAAAUAUUAUCUGUGAUGGCCCUACCUGGAACAAAAGCACUUUGAUUCAAAGAAAUAAUGUUAGGUAAAACAACCUUAAGCCUAUUUGACAUUACUUUGGCAACAAUUUUAUAAAUUACAUUACAAAGGCUUAUAGGCCUGAAAUUAGAAACUUUCUUUGGCUCCUUAACCUUUGGGAUUAAGGUAAUGGAGGUAUCAUUGACCGCCUCCAAGAAUCCUCCCUUGUUUAGAAUCUUGAGUACAAAGCUACAGACCUCCUUGCCAAGAAACUCCCAAUUAGUUUGAUAAAACAAGGCUGGGAACCCAUCAGGUCUUGGAGAGCCUAAGCCUUUCAUUUGGAACACAGCCUUCUUGACCUCUUCCUCAGUGAACUCCUGCAGCAGACUCUCAUUCAUCAGCGGUGUAACUCUAUGGGCCAUGUGCAUUAGACAUUCUUCAAUACCAGAGGGGUGGGAGGUUGAGAACAGAUCAGAGAAAAAUUGGGAGAAGGUAGCCCCAAUCUGUUGCUUCUCAGUCACUAGCGUGUUCCUACUAUCCAGGAUUUGAGAGAUGCUGUUGAUUUUCCUUCUGUGAGUGGCCUGCAUAUGAAAAUAUUUUGUGUUUUUGUCCCCCACUUGUAACCAGUGUUGUUUUGCCCUUUGUUUCUAUUUUAGAUCCUCCUUAGCUAGAGUUUGGUCAAUUUCAUUUUGCAGUUUUGAAGCAGAUUCUACAUGAUCUCCUCUACCAUUUUCUUGCAGCUCGCUCAGCUUUCCUAGUUUAUGCUUGAUAUUAGCAGAGAUCCUUUUGUUUGCUUUGGCAUCCCAUGUUUUUAGUGUAGACCUGCAAUUAAGGAGUCUUCUUUUCAUCAUAGUAGUAUAAUCCUGCCCACCUGCAGCCUUUUCCCAAGCCUCCUUAAUGGUUUGAACACAGUCAUCCUUUAAUAUCCAAGCAGCUUCAAACCUGAAGCAUUUUCCUUUAGGUAGCCAUGAGUUUCUCGAUUCCUUAUAAAUAAGACAAGUGGUGAAUAGUCUGAUCUUACUGUAGGUUCCACAGAGCAACAACUAUCAUUAAGCAUUUCCUUCCAAGUUGGGUUAGCUAGAGCUCGAUCCAAUCUUUCUUUAGUAAAGCUUCUGCCUCUUCUAUUGUUGGCCCAAGUGUACUUUGAGCCUCUGGUAUGAAUUGAAUUUAAUGAGUAGUAUUCAAGGGCAUCUCUAAAAAUUUCCAUUUGUUUGUAUGGUCUGGGGCAGCCUCCCUUCUUCUCAUCUUGACAGGUGAUUUCAUUAUAGUCCCCACAGCAUAUCCAUGGUGUUGGGGCCACGAUCUCAACUAAUGUUAUUAAAAGCCAAGAUGCAUAUUGCAUGGCUAAUUCGAUGCUGAUAUAUUUUGAGCUAAAAUAGGCAUAAUUUGGCUUGCUAGUGCUUUUGUCGAUGCCACUAGUAUGGGUGCCUAAGAUCCUUAAAGGAUAAAUUUUCGUGUGGGUAGAUUUAUCCCUAUAAUUCAAGGGAGGUUAUCUUACUUUGUUAAAAGAUUUGGAUCAAGUUCUCACUUUGAAUUGGGAGAAUGCAUUAAACUAUGUCACAAAAGUGAAUCUCAGGGGGUCUUGGGCAUUGAUCCUCUAGUCACCAGCACUUCUUUUUUUGCAAGUUGAAAACCUUAUCAACAAAUAGGGACAUGGCCUUAUAAGAAUUAAAAAAAAAAAAAAAAAAAGAGGUCUCAUAUGACUAAGCAUUUUGGAUCAUGCUUGGGAUCUUCUAAUCAAUUCCCCACUUAUUUAAUGUAUUUCAUUUAAUCGAAGAUUAAUAAUUUUGAAUGCUAAUAUUCUCCACUGUAAAUUUGGAAAUACCAAUGAAAAUGAGUUUGUAAGAAAUGCAAGGGAUGGAUUUUGAAGAAAUAAAAACAAUAUUGGAUAAUUAUUCAUUAAAAUUUGUUCUGGCUAGGGUACAUGCUCAGCGUCAAGAGUACUUCAAACAUGCAAUCAACUAAACUCAAAUGGCUGAAAAUGCGACGAACCAUAGGACAUUUGUUACAAUGUAAAUUCCAAUUACAUUGAAAUUCAUAAAUAAACAGAUUCUGUAAAUUAGUGCACAAUCACAAUCUCCUGCACAAAAUCACAAAAAAGCAUUGGAACAAACCCUUUCAGAUUUUUUGUAUGGAAUGGUAAUAAAAUUUUUCUAGAUUAUAUAAUACAUGCACCAAAAAAAAAAAAAAAAGGUCAAGUCGGAAUAUCCAUUUCUUCCAAAAGAAUUUUUCAGGUCGGGAAAUUGGCUAAUCGGCCAAGCGGCCAAACAUGAUGCCUCUAUAUUGGCUCAAGUCGGAAGGGUUUUCGGGUUGGGUGAACAGAACUAGUCGUGCCAUGGUCCCUUUACAUCAGGGUAAUUUUAGAAUUAAGGCUGUCAAUUGGGCUGGCCGACAGGAAGGACCACGCACUUGGAAUGGAAUUGCAGUAAGAGAUGGAGAGAUGGUCUAUGGGUGCUGAGGCAGGGCACGAACCUGUGCAGCAGGAUUCUUGGGUUGGGCAACAUAAUCAGACACUGAAGGAGUGCACGGGAGCUGCGAAAGCAGCCAUUUACGUUCGGCCUCAACACGCAUGUACGAGCAUGACUCUAAAUGAAGCCAACCAAUCACGAGGAAGGAAGCCAACCAAUCAAGCGGGAGCCGAAACAAAUGGGCAAGGACGUUGGACCUCAACGGAGAGCAGAUCAUGCAUGGACAAAAGGGGAUUUUCAUUUGUUCACUUUUUUUUUUUUUGGCUGGGUUCUGACGUUGCUAGGGAAUUUGAAUUUCAUUCUCAUUUUUAUGCUUAGAAUAUUUUUUUCUCCAGGAGUUUUGGGACUCAGGGGAUGUUAUUUUUUUUGGCUUCACUUUUCAUCUUUCUUGGUUUUUUGGUUCUGGGUUCCAGACCCUUGUGAGGAGGCUAAUAUUGUUCUUCAUCUUUUUUUGGGAUUAUAUUCUGAAAUGGAGAUGGAGCAUUUGGAUUCAAAUAUGUUAGGCUAACUUUUCAACU